AGUAUGGUAGAUUAGAUACAGGGUGUGGGAAAAAAAAAAGUGCCAAACCCAGAGUUUGGACCUGACAGCUAGGGCUAGAUUCCUGAGAUAGAGGUACCCACCAGGGAAUCAGGUUGGAGAAACGAAGGUUCAUUAAGGAGAUGUUGCUCUUUGGUAGUCUGUAAGGUAGUCAGUGCUAGACAGGCAGUUACAUGUAUGACUGGAGAUAAGAAGGAGAGCUGGCCUGGCGAUAGGAAAUUUCCAUAUAUUUUAUGCCACUAAGUAGUGGCAAAUGAUGUGAUUUGAGAACAACUUGAAAUAUUUUGAGAAUGAGAAGGAAAGCAGUCCAGUAAAAAUGCCUCUCACGGGCAUGGUGGCACAGGCCUUUAAUCCCAGGACACGGGAGGCAGAGGCAGGUGGAUUUCUGAGUUUGAGGCCAGCCUGGUCUACAGAGUGAGUUCCAGGAUCAGCCAGGACUAUACAGAGAAACCCUGUCUCGAAAAAACAACACAAAAAAAGCCUCUCACAUUGCUUUUAGCUGGCCAGGAAAUCAGAAGACUGUGUGUUUGAAAUAUUUCAUUUUUCUCAUCUGUAGGUUAUUUUAACCAUUCUUAUGCCUUUAAGGCGAAUAUGGGUAUCACCUGGGAAGCUGACAUAGGCACAAUCGUUUCUCCUGUGCUGUUUAACCGCAGUUGUCUCCACUAAUGAUAAGAAAUCCAUGAACUAAAAGCAAACAUGUCAGCAGCUAUAGUCUAUUAGCAACAGCUUAGAGCGUGGUGAUUAGUUGCCCCACGUUAGCUAUGGAGCAUCACAUCUUAAAGUUUAAAUUUAGGUAAAGUUUUAUAGGACGGUGUUUUUAUGUAGAAGCCCUGGUAGAGGGGAGUGAUCACUAACAUCCAAAUGGAAAGUCUCAAAGGAGGGGAGGGGGACAAGGAGGACAGGAGAAAAAGAGAGGAGGAAAAGUGGGGAGAGGGAGAGACAGAGAUUAUGUAAAUUGUGUUUCUUGAAGUUAUUCAGAAUUUUUAAUUCACAAAAGCCAGUAUCUGGAAGCACAUUCACUUCCUGUUUGGAGAGAGGAGAGCCCUUCUGUAGUCUUAUCCUCAGGCUUGUGGCUAUGUGAAUUUCUCUCCCCUGUGUGCGUACAUGGACGGGUAGAAGUGGUUGAGUGGGCAGUUGGCAGACCUUCAUUGAAUUGAUUGCAACUGUUCUAAAAUGCAGCCGAUCCAAGGGCGGGGUCAGGAGGAGCAUUCCCCAGAGGUAGCUUCAGAAUGCCUCAUUUGCAUAAGUCUUCAGUGAUGCUUGAGAGAUAUGAAAAUGCUUACAUUCUUACAAGACUAUAAGAGUCCAGAUCUGAUUUUUCAUCCAGUAAUUGAAGACAUCACAAAGGAUUAGAAGUCAAAGGCCUUGAGCUCUUGCUCAGACUGUAAAGAUCCCUGGAAGUAGGACAUCAUGCAGGAUUUGUGCUCUCUGAAGACAGUAGACGUGAAUCCUGGAGAGACCUUUAACACACUGAAAUACCAUUGUGUUUCUUAAAGGAUAAAGGGAUCUUAUCAUUAUAUUGUAUCUAAUGGGUGAGAAAUAAUGUAAAUUUCUUGAGCUAAACAAAUUCUAUACAUUAGAACUGUCAAAAAUAUCAAGAUCGUAACUCUCCAAACUGAGAUACACUUCAAUUAUAGUUGUAAAAGAGUGUUAAUUUGUAUAGGCUAACAAAAACUCCUGAGAAAAUUAUGUAUUCAGUGUGACUUCUUCAGAGUAUAGCAUAUAUUUUCUUUUUUUAUGGGUAGCCCACCAGAGAUGAUCACUCAAACACAGUUUAUUGAAGGUCUUCAUUGUAGCCAACUAGGACUACAUCCAAGUGUUCCUGGAACUAGGUACAGCCUGUGGUGUCUAGAGCACAGGGUUUUUGAAGGGAAAAACCACAUCUGGCAUCUCAUUGGCAGCUGUAGGGAACUUUGCAGAAGCAAGUAGUUUAACAGAAGCAAAGGUAAGGGGUUAGCUGGAAGGAGUUUCUACAUAAACAGGCAGUUUAACAGACACUAGAUAAGUUAGCUAGACUAUCCUGACCUUGAGUUCCUAGGAUAGAGUCUGGUAAUUUUCCGUAGGAUUAACAAUCAAGGAGGUCAAAUUCUAGUUCAACCUAAAUGGCCUCAGCAAGAAUACACGAGGGAGGGGCCUCUGCACUUUCCUGCCUUGUCACUAGAGGAUUUUUUUUUAUCUGAAAGAAUUCAUAUUAGAAAAUGUAGGAAUAUAUAUAUUAUCAUGACUGAGAAUCCCUUUACACUGGAUGAAUAAUUAGCAAUCUAAAGCUAAUUGUUUUUCCCCCCAAAGCUCAGAUUUGGUAGCUAGCUAUAGCCAUUGAAGGGACAUAAGUCCUCUGGAUAAAGAUCAGUAUGGGAAAUGUGAUGUUGUCUUUUUUUUUUAAGAAUUAUGUCUAAAUCAAGCUUGCUUAGUUAUACAGGAGUCUAAUCCCUGCCACUUAGGAAGUUGAGACAUUAGGGUAACAAACAGGUUUGAGGCCUGGGUUGCAGAGUGAGUUCAAGACUAGCUUGGCCAAGUUACUGGGAAGCCGGGCUGGAGAAACAGCAGUAAUGGGGAUGCUUGCCUAGAUUCAGUCUCCAAUAUCAAACAGAAGCAGGAAAUAAUUUAAAAUGUGUAUAUCUAUAUAUUAAUUCCAAUUAUACUGAAUUUGAAGGGCAGUGUGCUUAUUUCUUAUAAUUUAAGAUUCAAAGUUCAGAAAUUCAGGUCAAGGUUUUGUUUUGUUUCUUUGUUUUUGGGGUUUUUUGUUGUUGUUGUGUUGUUGUUUUUUGUAAGUUUGUGUAGCAAGUGCAAAUGAAAGAAAUAUAGAAAUAUGGCAACUGGUAUGGUUUUAAAACCAAACCACAGGAGAAAGAUAACAACUUUCUUCCAAAGACAUGGCUUUGUAGUUACC
rnacentral:lncRNA from 1 species